GUGGUGACUCAGUGGUAGAGUACUUGCUUAGCGUGUGUGAGGCACUGGGUUCAAUUCUCAGCACCACA
rnacentral:tRNA from 1 species